rnacentral:lncRNA from 1 species
UGAUUGUUUUAAUAACCACACAAGCAUAUCUUUAAUAUUUAUGAGAUUAUACUGUGUUUGACAUGCAUUAGGUUACACUAGACUGACGUCUGACUGUUUGUUUGAUUGACAUGUACAAAAGAAAGAUAUAUAUACUUUGUCAAAAUUGACAUCAGUUGACUUUCGGUUCAAAAACAUGAUCCAAAAGUGAAGUUAGACAACCAAAUGAGCAAAUAACCCUAAAAAGAAAAAACAAGACUCGAAAAUUUAUCAUAGUGAAAGACAAUUAUGCCCUUCGGGUACUACCCUAGGCAUCAGACUAGCUGCCACAUAUCUUUGAGGAUAUAGCUUAGGGAUGAUGCUGCUGGUGGUGGUGGUGGUGGUUGUGUCAACUGGUGCCGCCGCCAUAUGUGCCCGGCUAUGAAACUUGGCAAAUCGGUUGAUGACUGAAAAUCUCUCUAAAUCUUGGGAUUCCAUUCUUAUUUCAAGAACUGAUCCUCCAUUCUCCAACCUUCAUUUCCAUUUUUAUACACAAAUGAAAACAGAAUUACAAAAUGGAAAUGUAAUUUAACUAAUUUUUGACACUGGGUUGAUUUGGCUUUUGAGUUGUAUUUUAUUUAUGGAUAAAAUUAAAAGGUCAAAUGGUAAAAAAAAAAAGUGGGUUGAUUUGAUAAAAAGUCAUAUUACCUAAUAAAGGAAAACGUCAAGUGGGAAAAAUCUAAAACGUUUAUCUAAAACAGAAAAAGGUCAAUGGGAGAAUCUGAAUUCGAGUUAUAUCUUUUACUAAAAAAGUAUUUAGGUCAAAUGGUAUAAAAUAAAAAAAUUUACCCGAAAAAGGAAAGUGUCAAAUGGAAAAAACUAAAAGUAAAAAUCAAAUGUAACAACCUUUUAAUUUCUUUUAUUAACAAAUUACACAAAAACCAAAGUAUUUUGAGCUGUUUUGCAGUUUAACUAACUACUUGUACUUUAUUUUUUCCAAUCAAACAAAAAUAAAGUUUUAGAUAUUUUUCCAAUUAAACCAUUUUUACCUAAAAAUGGUUAAAUUGGAAGUUUACUAACAUAAAAAAUGGUGGAUUGUGUUUAUACCUCAAAAGCACAUCUUCUAUCUUCUUUGAUUUAUCAAUGAAAUCUUCUACAACCUUUGAAAGAUUCUGAUCAUCACUACCCUUGGAUACAACCUUUUUCCCUGCUGACCUGGAUUUGCCACGUCAGCAAAAAAAAAAGAAUCAAAUUUUCCAACUUUUCAAGAUUUCACAUUCAUAACAAAAUAAAAAAAAAAAUGAUACUUACGUUUCAGAAAUAUGAUGAGGAUGAUUUGCCAAACUACAUGCAUCACCAAGUGCUAAUCUAGCAGCAAAGUAUGUUACAAUUUCAUAACAUUCCAAAGCAUCAUCUAACAGAAGUUUAAAAGGCGUAGGCCUAAAUAAAACUUGCAUAAGUUGUGUUGUUAAAAUUAUUCUUCUCUUUAAUGUUUCACUUUCACCCCCUUGACCUUCUUUCAUCUGUUAACAUAAUAGUAUAAUAAAAACAACCAUUUACAAAUUAGAACCAAUACACCAAAAAAAAAAGUCAACUCUCUGGUCAACCACAAAAACACACCUGUUCAGGUACCCGAUUUCCAGCCUCUCCCCAUUCCACUUCCGCAAUGCUGCAAGGACAAAUUUGUAAAAAACAAAAAAACUUUGACGUUUUUUAUAGUAUGUCAAUAUAUACACACACACACAUACCUUGUAUCAAGAAGUCUUCUAGAACCUUGUGUUGCUUCUUUAUGCCAAGGGAGAAGCUCGUAAGUAGGAAAUUUACGUUUUUUUGAUUUAGAAAUAAUUGAAUCUUGAUUAACACCAACCGAAUUGGUUCCAUAUUGACUUGUGUUUGCUAAAUUCAUCUGGACAAAUGAACUAUUUUUAUGAAGCUGAGAAGGGUCUUGAAGAGGAGGGUAAAAUGGGGAUUUCACUAAAUGAUCUUCUUUUAUAGCGGAUGACGCGAGUACGCUUUUGUAGUUUUCGUAUGCAGAUGUGAGGGCUUGACAUUCAGUGACCAUCAGUUAACCUAUGUACUUCAGGGAGGGAAAUCAUAAAGGAAGAAGGAAUAUUCAACGAAACCAAAGUACAACAUAAGCACAUACUUAAACCCUAAUAACAACACAAUCCUAGCAAACAUAUAUAUAGAACUGAAAUUACAGAUUGUAAACGAACUCUAAAACCUAAAUCAACAACUCAGAGAGAAAACAACACGAACUCAAACCCUAAAAACACUACUGCAUGAAACAACUUCAAAUUUCCCCAACAAUGCAAAAACAAUAACUGCGAAUUUCAAUGGUUUUCGGUGAAUCAAAAGCUGUAUUACCGUUACAACACAAACAAGGUCGAGAAUCAGCUAAUUUGAGACUAAAAUCGACGAUUUCGAGACUGUGAUCCAAGUGAAAGCAAAUUUGGGGGUUGUUGAGAAGUAUACAGAAGAACAGAAACUCUUACUUCCAGCAGCUGGUUAGUGGCUCGUUACCACCCUCCCUCGCUGAGCAUUUGUUAAAGCCUCAUUACCACCCUCCCUCGCUAAGCAUUUCCACUCCCUAUACAUGUGUUAAGUUGGUUUUCUAACAAUUAGCGAGCAGCUCUUUGCCUUACCAGAGGAAAGAGAAGAUAUGUGGUACCCACCAUUUAAGUAUUUCAACUUCAAACAAUUGUACUUUUAGCUUUAGCAACUUGUAUUCUUUUCAUGUUUUAUUUUAUUUAAAUAGUUAAAUAAAAAUAUAUUUGAUUUAAGAAAAAAAAAAUAUUUUCUAAAAACAUCACCGCUCCAUAUCAUCAUAUUAUGUUUAGGUGUCCAUAAAAAUAUAAAAUGGCAAUGUUUUAACACAUUCUACAACUCCCUAAAACACUUUAUAUCUCUCUAAAACCGAUGACCGAGAAAGAUGGUCUCUUUUUCUUUCUUUCAGACAUAUUAUAUUUUAUCUGUCUAGGUUCGGUUCUGAGCCUGUAGGUUUAUUGCCGAGCCUCAGGGUCUUAUAUCUUCAUGUCAUGGGCUCCCCCACAUGGUCUUUUCCUAGGAAUGUCAUGGGCUCCCCACAUGGUCUUUUCCUAGGAAUGUCAAGGACUCCUCCACAUGGUCUUAUAUCCAAUUACCACGAGCUCCGUCGGUAUCUUCCAUGCAAUAACAUACAUAAUCAACUAGCAUAUCAUAUAUCACAGAAGUAUCUAUCAUACUACAUAACACAUACAUAAACAUAUAAGGAUGUCGUGGGCUCCCCCCUCCCCCCCCCCCCCCCCCAGGGUCUUAUUCACUCUCUAAUGGUUUUAGGGUUUUCAGAGACGUUUGAAGGUGAAAGAGGCUGAUUAGGGUGAGGCUUAAAUGAGAUAAGGAUUCUUAUAUAGGGUUCAAGUCCGGAAAUUAGGGUUUGGACAUCUGUCACAUAUGCCAAGCGUACAUGUUGCCCCUCCGCGAUCAUUAUUACAUAAUACGCUAAGUGUACCUAUGAGUACUCCCAGCGUACUUAAGGGACUUCUUAUGCAACAUUUUAAAUUUUCAAGGGCUUCAAAGGAAACACUUGGUUUGGAGUGUUACAACUUACCCCCACUUGAACUAGACUUCGUCAUUGAAGUCCGCAUAUGCAAACAGAUAGGGGUAAUGCUCCUGCAUCUCCUCCUCCGGCUCCCAUGUCCAUUCGGAGCCCCUUCAGUGCUGUCAUUGCACCUUUACAAGCUUCACUUCCUUGUUCCGAAGACCCUUAGUCCUCCUAUCCAAAAUCGCGAUAGGCCUCUCAAUAUAAUUUAGGCUCUCGUCCACUUAAAUGUCGUCUGAAGAAACGACUGUGGACUCGUCAGUGACACACUUCCGAAGCUGUGACACACAGAAGGUGUUGUGAAUCUUGUUAAGCUCAUCCGGCAAAUCCAAGCGAUAUGCAACCUUGCCCACCCGGGUCGUAAUCCUAAACGGGCUUAUAUAUCGGGGUCCUAGCUUGCCCCUCUUUUGAAACCUGAUAACCCCUUUCCAGGGCGACACCUUCAGUAACACGAAAUCCCCCACCUGGAACUCAAGAUCUGAUCGUCACUGGUCAGCAUAACUUUUCUGACGGCUCUGCGCGUGUGACAUCCCCAAAUUCACAGAUAGAAAAGACCGGUUUAAUUUACAUUUUUAAAAUAAUUUCAGAGUAAUCCUUUGACUAAAAGAGUUGCGAAAUUUGUUCCCAAAACACAAUAUGAUAAAAUAAAGUUUACCAAAGCAUUUCUUAAAGAAAUGUAUUUUCAUUAUAUAACAAAACUCAUGAUGUCAUGUUCCGAUACAGACCAAAAACAUAAACAGUACAACAUAGACCUUACAACAGUUAUUUACAACUACUGGUCUAUAAACAAAAUAUCUUCACAAGAUGUCCAACUUAUGCUCUCGCACCACUACCUAUAAUUCAAAGAAACUGAGUGGGACAGGCUUGGGAGCCUGGUGAGCAUAUAGGGUUUUCAACCCACAAUAAAUAAUUAUAUUUAAUUUUCACCAACCAACAAUAACCCGAUUACCCAUUCCCGUUAUCCUCACUUUACGUCCCUAAAACAACAACUAUCACAAGGAACCUAGUCUAAGGAUUUUCAUCGGGAUGGACAUUACUGCAAAGGGGUUUCCUCAACAAUAGAUGUUCUUAAGGCAACCAUGGGGAUAGAGUACACUGGUGAACACAUCGUUCACAACACCUACAGGUUAUGAACCUGUCAGCGUUCCACUGGACAGUCUAGAAAGAGUCUGUGGUCGUCAUCUAUACUCCACUAGAUGACUAGAUCAACAACAACGUCAAGGCCUCUCAUCAUUUUAUUUCAUCACACAUCAACUAUCUACCAAUGUUAUACCCAACAGUUUUGUAGAUAACAUAUAUAUAUAUAUAUCCAUUCAAUACUCAUUCCAGAUAAUAGAUAAUAUAUAAACACAUAGCACGUAUUUUAUAGAGAAAUAAUUCAUAUCUACAUGUUAGAAAAAAGCAACUACACACUCACUUGAUAAGACGAUGUUCGGACAGCACUACGGCUCUUAAAAUAAUAAUCUUUGAUGAAAUCGGGAUAUCUUCCAAAAACCGGGCUUCUCGCGGGCAGAGUUCCGGCUCGACAACUCUCUUUCUCGGGAUCUUCGGGGCUUCGGGACUUGCUUCGGGUGUCGGGAUUGAUACUGGGGCUUCGGGGGUCUUUCUCGCAAAGUAGAAGAAAGUAAGAGGGUGAAGGAAAUGAAAAUUAGCAAUAAAACCCGGAGGUCUCACUUUCUAUUUAUAGAGGUUGAACCCACGAUUUACGUUGGGUGUAACUUCAGAGGACGCGGGGCAUACUCCCCCGUCGACUUGUACGUUAGGCGUACGCCUAAUACGCUGGGCGUACUGGGUGGAUUGGAUCGGAUCCAUCACGGCUUCGGACCCGAGGCACUCAAGUGAUGGAGUAGGGCGACGUGGCCCAACUCAGUCCAUGAAUCAUGAGUACGCUGGGCGUACUCCCUUACGUUGGGCGUACUCCGUAUUUCCAAACUUCUAAAAUUUGUAUCUUUCGCAUACGAGCUCCGUUUUCGACGUUCUUUAUAUCCACGCGUAGGUGAGAUUAUGCUCUACAACUCACGUUUAGACUCCGUCGGCUAAUUUUGACUUUAUUUUUAUUAUAUUAUUUUUAGUAGGCCGGGAUAGGAAAACUCCGUUAGAAAUUCAUAACUUCAUCAUCUGACGUCCGUUUUCAUCUGUCUUUUUACCGUUGGACUACUAUGGACGAGAUCUUCGAUUCUCGUUUAGAUUGUUUCGGCUAGAAAUCACUCGAUCUCAUAUUCGAACUUUGGGUUUCAUACUGCUAAGUCGAAACUUAGAAAAAUCUUAACUUCCUCAUACGAAGUCAGAUUUAGACGCUCUUUUUAUGUAUGCUCUCGGUUUAACAUAUUCUACGACUUUUGUUUAGAUCAAUAAGGCUAAAUAUCGCUCUAUCAUAAAUUCACUAUUUACGUCACACAGUGUCGUACCGGAUCUGUCAUGAAACUUCGACAGGUCAUAACUUCUUCGUUAUAACUUGGAUUUCGGCAUUCUUUAUAUUUUCGGAAUCCUCGUCACGACCACUACAACUUCCUUCAUAGAUAUCGGGCUUAUCUAAUAUUUCAUUUUAACUCUUAAAUUAUCCUUAAUUCUUUUAAAUCACAACAAUUAAGCAUAAAACACAUAAUACUCAAAUAAUACAUUUCUAUUAUUUCAAAAUGAGUUACAAAGUUUAACCUAAACUAUUACAUCAACAUUAAUGCCUAGACUAGAAACAUAGUCGUUGCUUUCUCCUUAAGAAAAGCCAUCAGAUGAGGACACAUGGCACUGACUCGGCGAGUCAGUGACCAAACUCGACGGGUCUAGCUGUCUGGCAACUUAUAAAUAGAGGUGUCAGGCAUUGCGAUUUCUUCACACCUCCCAACUUUUUUUUCUCUCUCUACUUUCUCUCUCUAGCCUCCUUUAUUCCCCCUAAAUUCUAGGUAAACCCCUUCGCACCCGAAGGAAGCCCCGAGGCUCCCGGAGCCCCGAGAAAAAGAGCUUUUCGGCUCGGGAGCGCUGCUCCAGCGAAUCCCAGUUUUGAGAAAAACCCGCUGUUAGUGAGUUACGCUUACCCUAUUUUAAGUAUAACUUAUGUUUAAGUCAUGAACGUUAUUAUGAACUUAUAAACAAGAUUUAUCAGUGAUUCAAAGUCAUUAUACUUAUUAAUCUACUUAUGGGGAUGAUGUCUUGGCUGUGAUUUAGUGAGGUGUUUAAAGUGGGAUUUCCAAAUAGUAUACUUCUUAUACCAAACGGACCCUACGUCCUAUAUGAUCCUACCUGGUUGUUCUUUACUUGAUAGAUCAUGAAGUAGACUUUGAGUUAAUGAUAAAUCUAGACUAAUAAUUAGUCGCAAUAAAGAUUAGACUAAAACUUAGUGAUAAUAAUGCUAGGUUUCGUCGAAGGAAAAUAGAAUCGUUAAAAGCAAAGCGCUGCCGAGUUUGGAAUCAUCACUUUAACAACUGAGUGCAUGGUUACUUUCAUCUUACACAUAUAUAUGAAGUAUUUUAUAUAAACUACGUGUUAUGUGUGCAUAUUAACUGUAUACUUGCAUCUAUGUUGGAUGAACGAUUUUAUACAAGUCUUAAAUGAUUUAAACUGUAUAUUUAUUUAUAUCUACAAAAUAUGUUGGGUAAAACAUGGGUAGAUGAAAUAUAUAUGUUGGAUGAUGAGAUAAGAGGUGAUAUAGACCAUGAGAUAAGGGUGAGAGGUGAACAAUGAGAGAAUCCUUUUACCCAAGCGUUGGCCCCGUCAUCUAGCAGAAUAUGGAUGACAACCACAGACUAUUCUAGAUAGUCCAGUAGAACACUAGCAGGAUCGCAACCUGUAGGUGUUGUGAACGAGAUGUUCACCCAGUGUACUCUAAAAACCCAUUGACAUGUAUUACGAGUUGACUCUCGAAAAUGAAAUUGCGAGUUAGCGAGAUACACGAGGUGAGUCUUCUCACUAUACUUUACCUUGAGUAGGUAACCAGAGUUAUGUGACAGAGUAUUUGUAUGCUAUGUAUGUUAUGUGUUGUACUGCAUUAUUUCUAUGUGAUUUAUGAUGUGCAUGUUUAUAGAGUUGGAACCGGAAGGUUCACAGAGUUAGAACCAGAGGGUUCACAGAGUAGGGUCCACGGACCCACAGAGUUAUAGCCUCGAGUGGCUAAUAUGUGUUAUGUGUGGUAUUUUGGGGAACUCACUAAGCUUUGUGCUUACAGUGUUGGUGUUAUUUGUUUCAGGUACUAGUGAUGAUUGUGGGAAGGCGCCGACUUGAUCAGUACACACACGGGAUUUUAUGUUAUCAGAUCUUGGGAAUUUUAUGUAGCAUGGAUUGAGUUAAAAACAUUAAUGUUUUUAUGAAUGAUAAAUGAUUUGUGUUUUUAUAAAAUGCGAAAAAAUGUUUUGAAAUUUACGUUGUUACAAAAUGUCCAAGUUUAAACAAGGUUUGGUUGACCCAACCUUCUUUCAUAAGAAAGAGGGUGAGCACUUAAUGAUAGUCCAAAUUUAUGUCGAUGACAUCAUCUUCGGUUCCACGAAUCCUAGCUUAACAGCUGAGUUUCGCAAGUUGAUGGAGACUAAAUUUGAGAUGAGCUCAAUGGGUCCAAUUAACAUUUUCCUUGGGUUAAAUAUUAGACAGGGACCAGAAGCCAUUUUUAUCAAUCAAGAAGCUUACACAAAGACAUUACUAGCGAAGUUCGGCAUGAUGAGAGACUCAAUAGUGAAGGUUCCAAUGGCAUUCGGAACGAAGCUAACACCAUCUCUAGAAAAACUGGCUGUUGAUAUGACACUCUAUCGCCAAAUGAUAGGAUCACUAAUGUAUCUUACAGCUAGUAGACCGGAUAUCAUGUUUUUUGUUUGUUACUGUGCUAGGUUUCAAGCCAAUCCAUGCGAACCUCAUAUGGUGGCUGUCAAGAACAUCUUCCGAUACUUGAAGCAAACCUCAUCUCUCGGCAUAUGGUACCCAGCGAAGUCAGGAUUUUUCGUUCAAGCUUUCUCAGAUGCCGAUAUUGAAUGAUGUGGUCGAGAUAGGAAAAGUACCAUAGACGGCUGUCAAUUUCUGGAUGGCAAACUCAUCAGCUGGCAAUCCAAGAAACAAAUGUGUGUAUCCUUGUCCACAGUCGAAGCUGGAUAUAUAGUCGUUGCAUCUUGUGCUUCAUAGGUCAUUUGGAUUCAAAGUCAGUUAAGAGACUAUGGCCUAAAUAUGAAGUGAAUCCCACUCUAUUUUGACUCUGAAAUUGCAAUCCGAAUAUGUCACAACCCAGUGCAACACUCAAAGAAGAAAUAUAUAGCAUUGAGGUACCACUUUAUCAAGGAUCAUGUGGAAGAUGGUAAUGUGGAAAUUCAUUUCGUACGAUCUGCUGAUCAAUUGGCCGACAUAUUCACAAAAGUCUUGCUUGAAGCAAUCUUCAAUAGAAUACUUCAAGGCUUAGGAAUGAUGGAAGCUGAAUCUGUACCGAAACCAUCUUUGCUUCCAUAAGUAUACCUUUCGCUUUCGCCUCAUUAACAUUUCAACAAGCGAAAUAGAGCGAACGCUCGAUCUAUUUGGGUUCCGAUUUUCCGAGAACCGAAUUGUACCGAACGCUUGGUAUAUUUCGCUUCAUCUAUCAAAAGGCGAACGUUCGGUUGAAACGUUAUGUAUACUAUUUGUACAUUUCAUUUAUCCUUUCUGUUUUUAUUUCUUUUCAGAAAAAUUCAAAAAUUCAAAAAUAUUUUUCCUUUCUGUUUUUCUUUCUUUUUCAGAAAUAUCAAAAAUGCAAAAAUAUUUUCUUUUAUUUGUAUAACCUAUAUUGUUUCACACUUGCUGCUUGUCUCAAUAAUAUAUCAAGGGAAAGGUAUCAACUCUCAAUCCAUGUAUUAGCUUAGUGUCUCUAAAAGCAUGCUAUUGUAUGUUACCCAAAGCCUCACUAGACUCUACAUGAAGCCUUAAUGAAUCGAAUCUACCAUUCGUUUCUACCCGAUAAGGCUGCUAAAUUCACUUAAGUCAUGAGCUACCUUACUCUUCUCACAAUGAGUUAAGAGUUAUCUACUUGGUCACUUUCAUGAUGCACGAAGCUGUUGAUCUACCGAGUGUAUACUAGUUGGAACCAGUUGCCUCCUUUGAUAUGGUUAACACGAAGGACUCCCAGUUUUACAUGCCAAUUACAAGAAGAGCCUUCGUGUUCUACUACUUUGAUAAAAGAGCCGAAUUUACUUCUCUGGAUGCCAAAGUAGACAGAGCCCUUGUUGAUUUUACCUUACCUUCUCUAAACCUCAAUAUUUAACAUGGAGUGCCCAGAAGAUCACAACAGUCAAAGUCAUCAGACCCAUUCCAGUUGGCGGUUUCGUGAACGUCAAAUUCAAAGUGACGAGGAGUUCGGACAAUUCUCUACAUGAAUUUUCUCUUGCUGAUCUGCCGAACAUUAACCCUCAUGACUGGAUUGUGUUACUCAAUCUUCUUCUAACUGAAGAGAAGAAAUACGAACCAAUCAUUUCUCAUCUGAAGAGAAUGUUGGUUUCGUACAUUUAUAAAGCAGCGAAACUCGACGUUGAGAUAGCCAAGGUCAUGAAGAAAAAGCCUACUGUUAAUCCAAUAAGCAAAGCCAGUGACAUGAGCGAAAUGACUUUGGGAAAAAUUGAUAUGGCUCAUCUGACGGUGAUGUUUCAGCAAAGGACCAAAGUUGCUGGAACUUUUCAAAAAUGUCUUUUGCUCUGCCUGACAAGCAUCUGUUCUCUACAUCUUGUCUGGAACAUGUCUUGGAAAUUAUCAACAAGUGCAACCUGAAUGAUGAUGCUGCAAAGAGGCACUUUAAUGGCAUGAUUCAUUGGUACAUCCUGUUUCACAGGACUUUGCUCGCUGUGUUUCCCAAACUCUUCAAAACCGUCAAGAAGACACAACAGUGAAGGUCUCUUGCCCAAAUGACGCAAAGGAGGAGAUUGUUGAGAUAAUUAGAUUUCGUCUUUGGGCUUGUUUGUAUAAGUCCAUUUUGUACACGGUUUUGGGCAUGUCCAGCCGUUUAUUAUUAGGGUUAUUAUAUAUAUGGUGCAUGCAUGCACCGUAUUAGGUUAACAGUUGAUUUUAUUAUUCCAAACAAAAGUGUAACCCUACCACACUUCGACAGUAGCAAUUCUUAAUAGAGUUCUUCUGAGGUUGUGGCUUAUUAAUCAUUCGACAAUAGUUUGAUUCAUUUUGUGUUUUUAUUUUAUUUCCACUCUUUGUUUGCUUGUUAAGAAUCUAAUCGAUCUUAAAGACUUUUUUAGUCUCAUCAUUGCCCUUCUUGGCAUUCCAGUCACCAUUGUUUGAAAGUGGCCUCGAAGGGUUUUUUUGAAAGAUCUCCCUCUUGGCGCAUUCUGCCAACCUUGUGCAUAGUAGGGAACAUAUGCAAGAUUUGGACAAUUUAUGGCAAUGUGGCCAGGUGUUCCACAGUGAAAACAUGUUUGUUUCCUCACGUAGGAGUUGUUUCUGUCUGCCCCUGGUGGCAUGCCCAUGCCUUUUUUCUGAUUGUUCCCACAUGUACAUUUACAGCAAGCAAUCUGUUUUGCUUGUUUUGGUGGCCUGUAUUUAUCAACAGUAGGUUUAUUAGAGUUGGCUGAAUUAGAAGCAACAGAUUCAGAGUUCAAGGAGACAUUGGUUUGACAGUCAACAUAAUUAACAGAACUAGAAUUAACUAUGUUCUCCUUGUUUUCAUCUUCCACUACUUUACCUGCACAUGAAGUAGAAUAAUUAGUAUCCUUCACCUCAAUAUUCUCAGUCGGACCAGACUGUUCAGUUUUAACUAAAAUUGGUACAGGGGGUUGGCCAUACUGUCCAGGUAUUUCUUCCUCAUUAGUUUCAAGGGGAAUAAUGUGAUACCCUAGACCCUUAUUUUGAUUAUCUUUAAACUUUAAUUGUUUUUCAAUCAUGGAUGCAACUACCUCACUUGACACAUCAAAUUUAUUAAAGUUAAAUUCAACAUCUUUAUAUGUAGCUUUCGAUGCAUCAAGUUCGGCGGUUAAGCAGGCAAGCUGUCUCUUAACAUAGUUAUAGUUUUCACAUUUAUUACUAUAUUCUUCUUGAAGUUUUCGGAAAUCGUUGGUUUAGGCCUCUAGUUGUUCUUUUAAGGGUUUAUGGGCCUUCCUAAGAGUAUAGCCUUAAUACCUAAGGUCCUCAUUGUCUCUACGUAAUAUAUCAAUUUGAUCACGAAGAAGUUUAAUUAUAGCUUCACAAGACUGAGAACAUGAAGUUUCAUUACCCAUGGUGAUUGAGGAACUCAUUGUUUACCAAAAAUACCCUUUGACUAUAAACCUCAAAAAUCAACCUUAAAAGUCAAAUUUAAAAGGUCAAACUUAAAAGGAAAACUUAAAAAAUCAGACUUGAAAGUCAAAAAUAAAAUUCUUUGUCCAAAAAGAACAACCUUGACCGAAAACAUAAGUUUCCAGGCCAAAAACAAAUGAUUUCUGCCGAAAACGAUGUUUUCUGCCGAAAAAGGAGACGCUCCACGGAAAACAAUAGAUUUCUACCGAAAAAGUGUUUUCUGCAGGAAAAAGGAGAUGCUCCACCAAAAACAAUAGAUUUCAGUCGAAAACGUGUUUUCUGCCGAAAACGCCCAGUUCUUGCCAAAUUUAUGAAGAACACCACCUAAUAUUUCUUCAAAAACAAAUCAAAACCGCCAAAAACCUUCAAGAAAAAGUCCAAAAACGUUCAAUAUAUUGCCAAAUUAAUUGAUAUGAUCCAAGCUUUGAUACCACUUGUAAGUCCCUAAAUUUCUUUGAUGUAUCAAUCAGAUCCACUUGAUGGUGUGGAAUCUCAAUCAAGUGGAUGAUGCAAGAUGUAAUGGAGAAGAAGAAAAUGAUGAUGAUGAUGAUGAUGAUGAUGAUGAUGAUGAUGAUGAUAAUGAUAAUGAUGAAUCUUCAAAGCACACAAUGAAUUGAAUGAUGAUCCGGUACACAAGAUUCACGCACACACACGUUCUCUCUACUUUCUCUCUCUAGAACAUGUUGAUACGACAAUGGCAUCCCCUUGGACAUUUUCUCCCCUCUUUAGGCACUAGUGUCUGACUUACACUCCCCUAAUAACUCUAUUUAUACUUAUGGACCCAAAAUACAUAGCCCAAACUGAAAACCCAAUAGUUUGACCGAAAUCACAUGUGAUUUUGGUCCAAACAACAAAUAAGAUCAUGGGGAUUUCGGCCCAAGACUAAAAACUAUAAAUGCCUAGAAAAUCAAAGUAUAAACAAAUAAAUUUAGACCAAACAACUCCAUUGGAUCAUAACAAUCAUUUAGCAUCAUCAACAUUUUGCACUAAUCAUGAGUCAACAUACAUAUUCGAGCAUUUAUAUCAUGUCAAUAAGAGAAAAACAUCUAUCUGAUGCUACACUACUAAUUUGGACAAUUAGUACAUCCUUAGUAGUUGAGACUAGGACUUUAUAUUGACCUAAAUGUUCUCUUUCUUGCCACUAUUUUAAAAUAUAUAGUUGUGUAAAUUUCUGGAUAGUUAUAUUAUAAGCAUAGUCGCUUUCUUUAUAAAUUGAAAGUUCAUCUAAAGACAUUUGAACUCUCAUAAUUUUUUACUGACUCUCCAUCUAAUAGUCAUCAAAGUAGGUACUCUCGAAGAAGCAUUGGUUUGAUGAGUUAGCAGCCUCAAGAUAGAAGUCAAGUUAAUGAUUUAUAACUUUAAUUUCAACGCUAGUAUUCUUUAUCAUAUAUUAAAAAUGAGUGUAUGUUAUCUUCAAAUUUUGCUAUAUUUUUAUUUAUAUAAUUGUCAUGUUAACAAAAAAUUCGAUUCAUUUAGACUAUCGAUUACAUCUUUAAAAUUUUUACAAGGAUUUUGACACUAUAACAAGCAUAAAAAUCAAUGGAAAGUUUUCAAAAGGGGCGGAUACAAGUUAGGCAUGACAAUCGUGUCGUGUUCAGGUUGGCGGGUCAAAAUACACAAACGCGAACACGACCCAUUUAACUAUAUAGGCCAUGGGUUGGCGGGUUUGGAACAUAAACUCAUAUACGACUCAUCAAUCCACUUAUUUAUAUGGGUUCACGGGUUGGGGGGUGUCGUGGGUUAGAUUCAUUAAAUAAAAUAAAUAAUUAAAUGUGAAUAAAUUCUAGAUGCAAAACAAAAUUUAAAACAUUCAUGAAAACAUGUUCAAACUAAAACAUAUAUCAAUUUUAGUGUUAAUGUAAUAACCACAUUAAGACAAACAUUAAUCCUAUAUUUUUUUGAAUAACACUUAAUACAUUUAAAAAAUAUAUAAUAUUUUUAAAUAAAAUUCUAAACGGGUUGACAGGUCAACCUGUAUGUUUUUUGACAAACUCAUAUAGAUUGGCGGGUUAGCAGGUUGGUGGGUUGAAAAUCUUAAUUCAAACCCUUUUAUUUUCUGUCAUGUCGAAAAUUGUCAGGUCUAAUACAAGUAGAAGACUCGGGGCAGGUACUCCAACGGCUGGAAUUUUUUUAUAUAUAUUACAAUCGGAUUUGGAGUAUUUUUAUUUUUUAUUUUUAAAUAUAUCAUGCCCUCAAUGCUUUUGGUCUAUUGGGCUAAAGUUGAAGAAAUAUAAAGCAUGCUUUCUUCUCUCUUUCUAUUACCAAUCAUAUAUUUAUUCUAAUAAAUUAAAGUUUUUUUUAUCACUUGUUACAUUCUUAUUCAAUUUGUGAAAUAUCAUUUUGUGAUUAUUUUGAAUUAAUUUUUUGUUUCACAUGUCAUUUUAUGAGUUUUUUUUUUUAUUUUAUUAAAUUCUACAUAAUAUUUUAAUAUAAUAAUUGCAAAUAAAUAUAAUAUUAAUUAGAUAUCAAUUUCAUUAAUGAACUUACCUUUUAAUUUCAAAUUUUCCAAAUUUAAAGCUUAUUAGUUUUUUUAUUUAUUUAUUUAAAUUAUUUGUUUAAAUUUAAAAAAUAAAAAAAUAUAUUUCCAUUAUAAUAAUUGAUUAUUUUUUCUUAUUUUCUUAUAAAUUCAAAGUUCUCAAAUAUUUAGAUCUUUAUAUUUAAUUUUUUUUUAAUUAACUCAUGUAGUACAUGGAUUUAAUGACAAUAUUUCAUAUAAAUUUAGAUCAAUACCAUCUUUCGACCCCUUAUUACAUUGUGUGUUUAACUUUGUACUAUUUCGCUAUGGAUUGAAUUUUACAUGGAUUGAUUCUAAAUUUUAAAGGUAAGUUUGAAAAUUCAGACUUACUUAUUUGCGGUAUGGUGUGAGCUUUUGUGACGUUGAUUUGUAUACAAAGAUAAGCUUUUUCCCCAAAAAAGAAAGUGCAUUUAAUGGGUAAGCAAAUAAAUUUCAAAUCCUUUGAAAUGACAUAAUAACAUAAUUGUUUCUUUGAGUUAAAUGAGCAUGGAUUAAGGUUUAGGCAAAACCGAACCAUGAACUCCAUCAAAUCGAAUUAUGACCAAUUUUGCCAAAUUAAAAACCACAUCUUUGCCAAAUCAAAAUUUUUUUUACUAGCUUACACAUUUUUUUCAAUAAAUAUAUAACACAAAUAUUUUAUAAAAAAAAUCAAUAGGUACUAUGUGCUGAUUGGUGGAAUGGAGAUAGUGUUGUAAGUGGAGGUCAUAAUUUCUUCUAAAAUUGCUAUCCAUAAUUAUUAAGGUAAAUCAAUACCAUCAUUUAAUUUUUACAUUAAAUUUAUAUGAAAUAUUGUCGUUUUAGGACCAAAAAUGACAACCCAAGCUACCGAGGCUUUCAACACACUCAAGAAGGCUUUGAUUGAUGCACCUAUUUUGGCUAUGCCCGACUUUUCCAAGCCCUUUGUAGUGGAGACCGAUGCUUCUGGGGCCGGUCUUGGAGCUGUUUUGUUGCAAGACAGCCAUCCUAUCGCUUACUACAGCCAAGUAUUGGGAGUAAAAAGUAGAUCAAAACCGGUUUACAAAAAGGAGUUAAUGGCCAUUGUGUUGGCUGUGAAGAAAUGGAGACAUUAUCUCAUGGGAAGACAUUUCUUGGUUCGAACAACCCAUGAAUUGUGUAUUUUAAGCUCUUCUUGGUCAGUCCCGUUAGAGGAAUUGGAUAACGAGAUUACAGCAGAUUCCUUCAUUCAACAAGUGAUAACAGAUAUAAGGGAUGGAGGGAAACACCAUGUGGGCUAUAUAUACUAUUGAAGGUGGAAAACUGAUGUUCAAGGGUAGGUUGGUCAUUCCACAAAAAUCUGAGUUAAUUCCCAAAUUAUUGAAGGAGUUUCAUGAUUCAGUGAUAGGCGGACAUGCGGGUGAAUUCAGAACCUAACAAAGAAUAGUUGUUGAAUGGUUUUGGGUAGGCAUGAGGAAGGAUGUCCAAAAACAUGUUCAGGCGUGUGGCGUUUGUCAAACUCAAAAGGCGUUAUCUACCCAUCCAACGGGUCUUCUGCAACCCCUACCCAUACAAGAACAGGUUUGGGAUGAGUUAUCUAUGGAUUUCAUAGGACUCCCCAACUCUCAGGGUUACAAUGCGAUAUUAGUGGUGGUGGACCGCCUCACAAAGUAUUCUCACUUCAUUGCGAUUAAGCAUCCAUUUACCGCAGUCACCAUUGCUAGUAUUUUUGUCAAAGAGGUGGUCCGCCUUCAUGGAUAUAUUUUGGAGAUAAGGUGUUCAUGAGUCUAUUUUGGAGAGAGGUGUUCCGACUCCAAGGAACAAAUUUACUGAGAAUUACGACCUACCACCCCCAGACAGAUGGGCAGACGGAGAUUGUCAACAAAUCUGUGGAAAUGUACUUAAGGUGUUUCAUUCAGGGUAAGCCUCGUUCUUGGGUCCAAUGGUUGCCAUGGGCAGAAUUUAGUCACAAUACCUCCUACCAUACCAACAGCAAAAUCACUCCCUUCAAGGCUUUGUAUGGUAGGGACACGCCACAAGUGGUUAAAGUCCAGCAAGGGCAAACAGAGGUAUCCGCAGUGGAGGAACAACUCAUGGAGAGGGAUGCCAUUUUGGAUGAUCUUAAGGGACACCUUUUACAAGCCCAACAAAGAAUGAAAAAAGGAGCUGAUAAGUUUCGCAAGGAUGUAGCAUUUGCUGAAGGGGAAUGGGUCUAUCUUAAAUUGCAGCCUUACAGAAACUAGUUGCUCGCUUCUAUGGGCCUAAUUUGAUUCUUCAAAAGAUAGGAGUUGUUGCGUACAAGUUACAACUACCACAGGGUGCAAAAAUCCACCCGGUGUUCCACGUCUCUCAAAUAAAGAAAGCAAUCGGCAAUCAAUUAGCCCAUCCAGACUUACUAGUGCACUUAUCCGAAGACUUGAGGGUGAAUUGGGAACCAGAAAAAGUCAUAGGAGUGCGAACCCACGAGGACGAGGUGGGCCAAAGGACUGAAGUGUUGAUUAAGUGGAAGGGAGUUCCCGAAUUUGACGCCACUUGGGAAGAUUUCAGAACUAUACAAGGCACUUUUCCAGACUUUGACCUUGAGGACAAGGUCGAAGGAGAAAUGCAAAAGAAAAGACAAGAAAAGAGGGGACCACUGCCCAGCACAUAAACACUACAUGAUUGGUAGAGGAUCAGGGGCAAAAUGGGAAUUGAGGACAAAAUGAUGUAUUUCCUGUCUAUUUAAGGUAGUGGAAUUGACAUGAGGGGGAGUAGAGAAUAUUAGAAGCUUCUUUUUUUUAUUGGGAGUCUAUAGCAGCUCGAAUUGCUACAUUUUAUCUUAAUUUCUGUGACAUUGCUUUUGUGGGCUGUUGUUAGCUCUUAGUCUUGUUAUUGUUCCAAUCAUUCCAAAGAAAACAGCAAUAUAACAGUGUUCUGUACUGUUUGCUAGUUAAUUCAUUACAGAAAGAUAUAUAUACUUUGUCAAAAUUGACAUCAGUUGGCUUUCGGUUCAAAAACAUGAACCAAAAGUGAAGUUAGACAACCAAACGAGCAAAUAACCCUAAAAAAAAAAAAAAAAAAAAAAAAAAAAAAAAAAAAAAAAAAAAAAACAAGACCCGUAAGUUUAACAAUCAUAGUGAAAGACAGUUAUGCCCUUCAGGUACUACCCUAGGCAUAGGACUAGCUGCCACAUAUCUUUGAGGAUAUAGCUUAGGGACGCCGGUGGUGGUGGUGGUGUCGGCUGGUGCCGCCGCCAUAUGUGCCCGGCUAUGAAACUUGGCAAAUCGGUUGAUGACUGAAAAUCUCUCUAAAUCUUGGGAUUCCAUUCUUAUUUCAAGAACUGAUCCUCCAUUCUCCAACCUUCAUUUCCAUAUCCAUAAACAAAUCAAAACAGAUUUACAACAUGAAAAUUAUGUAAUUUAACCAAUUUUAGACACUUUUUCAGUUGUAUUUUAU